ACGGAAGGCAGCAGUGGGGAAUAUUGCACAAUGGGCGAAAGCCUGAUGCAGCGACGCCGCGUGAGUGAUGAAGUAUUUCGGUAUGUAAAGCUCUAUCAGCAGGGAAGAUAAUGACGGUACCUGACUAAGAAGCACCGGCUAAAUACGUGCCAGCAGCCGCGGUAAUACGUAUGGUGCAAGCGUUAUCCGGAUUUACUGGGCGUAAAGGGAGCGCAGGCGGUACGGCAAGUCUGAUGUGAAAGCCCGGGGCUCAACCCCGGUACUGCAUUGGAAACUGUCGAACUAGAGUGUCGGAGGGGUAAGUGGAAUUCCUAGUGUAGCGGUGAAAUGCGUAGAUAUUAGGAGGAACACCAGUGGCGAAGGCGACUUACUGGACGAUAACUGACGCUGAGGCUCGAAAGCGUGGGGAGCAAACAGGAUUAGAUACCCUGGUA
rnacentral:rRNA from 1 species